rnacentral:rRNA from 1 species
UACGGGGGGAGCAAGCGUUGUUCGGAUUUACUGGGCGUAAAGGGCGCGUAGGCGGCGCAACAAGUCACUUGUGAAAUCUCCGGGCUUAACUCGGAACGGUCAAGUGAUACUGUUGCGCUAGAGUGCGGAAGGGGCAACUGGAAUUCUCGGUGUAGCGGUGAAAUGCGUAGAUAUCUGGAGGAACAUCAGUGGCGAAGGCGACACCCUGGACUCAUACUGACACUAAGGUGCGAAAGCGUGGGGAGCAAACAGG